rnacentral:lncRNA from 1 species
AGAGCUGCAAUCCCGAGCUUUUAUCAAUCGGCCAUCUUUGAUCAUUCGGUAUUAAGAGUUUUUAGCAUGAAGGGCUGUUGAAUUUUGUAGAACGCCUUCUCUGCAGCUAUUGAAAUAAUCAUGUGGUUUCUGUCUUUGGUUCUGUUUAUGUGAUGGAUCACAUUUACGGACUUGAAUAGGUUGAACCAGGCUUGCAUCCCAGGGAUGAAGCCUACUUGAUCACGAUGAAUAAGCUUUUUGUUGUGCUUUUGCAUUCGGUUUGCAAGUAUUUUAUUCAGUAUUUUUGCAUCGAUGCUUAUCAUGGAUAUUGGCCUGAAGUUUCCUUCAGUGUUUUACUUAAUUUUGUUUUGUGUUUUUGUUUUUUAUCAAAAGCCAUUCUGGCUGAUAUGAGAUGGUAUCUCAUGGUGGUUUUGACUUACAUUCCUCUGGUUAGUGAUGUGGGACACUUUUUCAUGUAUUUGUUGGGCAUGUGCCUGUCUUCUUUUGAGAAGUGUCUGUUCAUAUCCUUUCCUCACAAUUUAAGAAGUAAUUUGUUUUUGGCUUGUUGAUUUGUUUAAGUUCCUUGUAGACUGCAGAUAUUAGACCUUUGUAAGAUGCACAGUGUGUCAACAUUCUCACCCAUUUUGUAGGAUGAGUGCUUACUCCCUGGUAGUUUCUCUUACUGUGCAGAAGCACUUUAGUGUAAUUAGUUCCCACGUGUCCAUUUCUGUUGUGGCCUGCUUUUCUUCUAACCGUCCUCUAGUUUGGCUUUGUCCAUUAGGUCACUGACUAUUUGUUUGUUUGUUUGUUUUUCGUUUGUCUGGUAUAUGGCAUGAGGUAAAGAUCCACAUUCAUUCUUUCACAUGUGGACAUCCAGUUGUCUCAGCAGCAUCGUUUGUUGAAAAGGUUCCUGUUUUCUCAUGAAAUUAUUUUGUACUGUUGAUGAAAAUCCAUUGACCACACCUGUGAGGCUUUAUCUCCAGACUCUGGCAUCUACUCCACUGAUCCAUCUUUCUAUCCUUAGACAGGCACCAUCAGCCUUGAUUACUGCUUGCUUUGUAGCCCAUUUAGAAAUUGGAGAACAUUGAGUCCUCAACUUUGUUUUACAUUUUUCAAGGUUGUUUUAGCUAUUAAAGGUCUCUUGAAUGUUGACAUAACUUUUUGAAUCACCUCAUCAAUUUCUGCAAAAAGAGAUCUGGGAUGUGGAUAGGAAUUACGUUGAAUUCGUAGAUCAAUGUUUUUCUGGAGAGUUUUGACCUUUGC